AUACUUACCUGGCAGGGGAGGUACCAUGAUCAUGAAGGUGGUUUUCCCAGGGCAAGGCUUAUUCAUUCCACUCCGAAUGUGCUGAGCCCUGAGAUUUCCCCAACUGUGGGAAACUCGACUGCAUAAUUUGUGGUAAUGGGGGGAAAAUUAACAAUGAAAUUCUA
ensembl:snRNA U1 U1 spliceosomal RNA